GGCCGGCCCUGGGGAGGUGCAAACAGCUCUACAGAGCUGGGCCUCCCCAAUUUUGGGGCCCAAAAUAUUUUUUUUUUUAAUAUAUAACGCAUUGAAAUUUUAAUAUAUAGGCAUAGCAUAGAAUUUUUACAAACUAAAUGUUGUGGCCUAGCGGUUAACUGUGGUAGUGUAGUGCUUUUUGUCUGCGGUUCAACUCCCAUAUAUGGCAAAUGUCAUUUUUUUUUAAUUGUAUUAUUCUUUUAUCUCUUUUGGGCAUAAUUUUAAUGGAUUUGAGGUCUAUAUUUCAUCAAUACUUUCUCUUCUCCUUCCAAUUCAAUUCACUUCUUUUGCAAAGCUG
rnacentral:lncRNA from 1 species